rnacentral:rRNA from 1 species
UACAGAGGGGGCCAGCGUUAUUCGGAAUUAUUGGGCGUAAAGGGCGCGUAGGCGGCCAUGCGUGUCUUCCGUGAAAUCCCUCGGCUUAACCGAGGACGUGCGGAAGAAACUGCAAGGCUCGAGUCCGGAAGAGGGGGGCGGAAUUCCCAGUGUAGCGGUGAAAUGCGUAGAUAUCAGGAGGAACACCGAUUGCGAAGGCAGCUCGCUGGGACGUUACUGACGCUGGGACGCGAAAGCGUGGGGAGCAAACAGG